UUCUCGCACUCGCUAGCUGUGUGUCUCUCGCGCUCAUACAUAGCCAGCAGAAGUGUGUGGUACAGUGUGACAGCAGCACUGCCUCCCCAAAGAAAGCUUAGCGCUCACUUUUUCUAUCUUUUUCUUGUUGCCGCUCUCAUUGUUUCCAGAUUCAGCAAGGGGGAGCCCGCAGUUAAUUUGGGGCCUGUAACUGGAAUAAGAAAGCAUUGCUGUUUCUGACUGGGGAGAAGAAAGCGAGGACUCCUCUGGGUUUCCAAAGAUAUUUAAACUGGCAGCCUUAUUUCCAAGGCAUUUGAACACAUCUAACUGGGUGUAUAGUAAGUAGCUGCUGGAGUUGUACUUGCUUUGUGUUUUUUAGUGGUGG